GUGGGGAAUAUUGGACAAUGGGCGAAAGCCUGAUCCAGCCAUGCCGCGUGUGUGAAGAAGGUCUUCGGAUUGUAAAGCACUUUAAGUUGGGAGGAAGGGCAGUAAGUUAAUACCUUGCUGUUUUGACGUUACCGACAGAAUAAGCACCGGCUAACUUCGUCCCAGCAGCCGCGGUAAUACGAAGGGUGCAAGCGUUAAUCGGAAUUACUGGGCGUAAAGCGCGCGUAGGUGGUUUUGUAAGUUGGAGGUGAAAUCCCCGGGCUCAACCUGGGAACUGCCUCCAAAACUGCAUGACUAGAGUACGGUAGAGGGUAGUGGAAUUUCCUGUGUAGCGGUGAAAUGCGUAGAUAUAGGAAGGAACACCAGUGGCGAAGGCGACUACCUGGACUGAUACUGACACUGAGGUGCGAAAGCGUGGGGAGCAAACAGGAUUAGAAACCCCGGUAGUCC
rnacentral:rRNA from 1 species